CGGAACGUACCUUCUAGGUGGGGAGUAACGUAGACGAAAGUUACGCUAAUACCGCAUAUUCUGUGAGCAGGAAAGCAGGGGAUCGCAAGACCUUGCGCUGAUUGAGCGGCCGAUAUCAGAUUAGCUAGUUGGUGAGGUAAAGGCUCACCAAGGCGACGAUCUGUAGCGGGUCUGAGAGGAUGAUCCGCCACACUGGAACUGAGACACGGUCCAGACUCCUACGGGAGGCAGCAGUGGGGAAUUUUUGGGACAAUGGGCGCAAGCCUGAUCCAGCCAUGCCGCGUGAGUGAAGAAGGCCUUCGGGUUGUAAAGCUCUUUCGGCCGGGAAGAAAUCGCACAGGUUAAUACCCUGUGUGGAUGACGGUACCGGAAUAAGAAGCACCGGCUAACUACGUG
rnacentral:rRNA from 1 species